CUUUUGGGGGAGCACAGAGAGCCCUGCCCCCCUCAGCGGUGGAUGGAGGCAUCUAGCCCCUACCACAUCUGUCUAAGGCUAAAGCUCCAGGGCCCAGGGACAUCCCCUCCCCGCCCUAGAAACAGACCCAUGUACAGAUUAGCAGGGAAUUUCCUGAGUCAGCAGUGCCUUAUAUGGGAAUCAAAGUCCUGAAAUGUCAGGGCAGCAGAGGCAUGUUGCCUCUAUUCCAUCCUCUGAACAUUUGUCUGGGGAAACUGAGUUACAGAAGAGGUUGUGACGUGUUGGAGUCCUCUGUGCAGGAGCUCCAGAGCAGCGACUGGAAUGAGGAAGGGGAGGAACUGGGCCUACCUGGAGCGGGCUUUGUUCUCCAUCUGGUGCUGGGGCUGAUCUGUGUCCACUCUGGGUGGCCUAUCUGUGAGAUCCACCUGCCUCUGCCUUCCAAGUGCUGGGAUUAAAGGCGUGCACCAUUAUAAUGACCUUGGAGCCUCCAUCCUGUGGCUUCUAUUUCCUAAGUAUUGGAAUCACAGCAUGUGACACCACAGCCCUUGUGUGGCGGACAGAGGACGACUUUCAGGGGGCAGAGAGGAUGCUGGAAAGAAGUAGGAUGGAGUCAGAGGAGUUGCCAGCCAAACCCAGGGAGGAAGCAGGUGGCACAAGAUGAAAGAAAGGUGACACCAAGUGACAGAAUGUUGAUGAAUAGAAACAGGUUAAUUUAAGUUGUUAAGAGCCAGUUAGUAACAAGCAUGAGCUAUUGGCUGAGCAUUUGUGAUUAAUAUUAAGUCUCCUUGUCAGUUACUUGGGAACUGGUGGGUGGGAAGAAAAGUCUGCCUACAGGGUCUUACAGGAUAGCCUUAGCUAUCCUGGAACUCUCUCUAUAGACCAGGUUGGCCUCCAACUCAGAGAUCCGCCUGCCUCUACCUCCUGAGUGCUGGGAUUAAAGGCGUGCACCACCAUCAUCUGGUUUUCAGCUUCCCUUUUAAAGGAGUUUUGCUCUCUCAACACCCAUAACACCCAUUCUUAAGUCUAUAUUAAAA
rnacentral:lncRNA from 1 species